CUCCCCCUUUCCCUUCUCCCACUUUCUCUCUCCAAAAUCUCUUUCUAGAAUUCCUACUUUCUCUCUCUUAAACAAACUCUCCAAAUCCAAGUGAAUAUUUUUGUGGAGGAGAAAAAAUUGAGAUUCAAAUUACAAGCAAAAAGCCCAUUAAAAAUCUUUAAUUCAACAUUUCUUUUUCUUUUUAAUUUUUUUUAUGUCACUCUGUUUUUAAUGUUUCUCUCUCCAAUCAUCCUUCAAGAAAUCAAUCAUCUAACGAACUGAUUGAAGAGAUAUUUAAGUUCUCUGACAUAUUCUUAGCAUAAAUAAAAAUAAAAGUUGGAUUUAUAAUGUUUUUGGAAUUUGAGUUUUUCUUAUGUGACGAAGAGAAAGUUGAAGGAGAGUGGGAGAAAGAAAGAUAGGUUACAUUUCCCCCUUAAUUUUUUUCACGUUUUUUCCACCAAACCCACAAAAAUUCCUGCCGAAAUCAUUCAAAAAUUCUAACAACUUUGACAAAUUGAUCAGCUUUCUCUCGUGCAGGGUUUGAUAAAAAAUGUCAGCAAUCAUGAGUGAACCAAUGGUAGUAUCAACAACCCAACAAGAUCCAUCAUCAUCAACAACAACAACAACAGUUCCAAUCCAAUCCCAAAAUGAACUGCAAUUCAUUAAAUGUGAAUGUUGCGGUUUAACAGAGGAAUGCACCCUUGCUUACAUUGAGAGGAUCCGACAAGGGUACAUGGGUAAAUGGGUUUGUGGGCUUUGUUCCGAAGCUGUCGAAAACGAGGUUGAUCGAUCUGAGAAGCUUAUUAGUACCGAGGAGGCGCUCAAUCGCCUCUUAAACGUUUGUAGGAGUUUCCGAUCCUCAUCCCCGCCGGCCGGCGGAGAUCCGACCGUCCACCUCAUCAGUGCGAUGAGCCAUAUUCUGCGCCGCAGCCUUGAUUGUCCACGUGGCGGUGGUCAUCGGUCCACCCCCGCGAGUCCCACUAGGGAAACCCUUGAGCAGAGACAGGCGAUUCUUUCUAGGUCCGAGAGUUGCUUCGCGGACCUUUGAAAGAUAUUAUAAUAAUAAUUAUUUUUAUUAUUAGGUGGUUCAAGUUCAACUCGAUCUGAUGGUGGAUGACGUAACAUGUUUGUGAUGUGUGGCCGUGUGAAGAAAUAAGAUCCGUAUGUGUGUGACACAAGGAAAUAUUGAGUGAUUAACUGUGAUUUUCGUGUCAAAUUGUACAAAAUUGAGAUGCUAAUGGAGGGUAACCUCAACUAAGAAAUAGUGAAAAAUAAAAUAAAAAAAGAUAGAUGAAAAGAAGGACUUUAAAUUUAGAAGUGAUGGUUUGCUUAGGGAGAAAAUGGUGCAUUUCCCUUGACUAGCAAUAGCAUUAUCCCCUCCCCCAAAUUUUAGUUUUAGUUUAUGCAAUUUUGUGUACAUAAAGUUAUAAAAUAUUAUAAUAUGAAGUACUAUUUAAUAAAGAAUUUCUUGUUCUAGAUGA